GCAGGUAUAUGCGUCAGAUAUGUGCAAGUCACAGGGGAUGCGAUUGCUUGGCUUGGGCUCAGAGGCUUGACAGUAGCCACAGUCUGGAUAAGGAUAAGAGUCUUUAACUAUGACACCAGUGCCUGCUAGGCAGUCCCUCUUCCAAGCAACUGGAUCAUAACAAUCAUGCAAUGAUACAUCAGGACCCUCGACCUCACAACAUUUUGUCUACCAUAUGCUUAAAAGAAGGUAAG
rnacentral:lncRNA from 10 species